rnacentral:rRNA from 1 species
UACAGAGGGUGCAAGCGUUGUUCGGAAUUACUGGGCGUAAAGCGAGUGUAGGCGGCUUAUUAAGUCAGAUGUGAAAUCCCUUGGCUCAACCGAGGAACUGCAUCUGAUACUGGUAGGCUUGAGUGUCGGAGGGGAUGGUAGAAUUCCUGGUGUAGAGGUGAAAUUCGUAGAUAUCAGGAGGAAUACCUGUGGCGAAGGCGACCAUCUGGAAGACAACUGACGCUGAGACUCGAAAGCGUGGGUAGCAAACAGG